rnacentral:rRNA from 1 species
AGAGUUUGAUCCUGGCUCAGGAUGAACGCUGGCGGCGUGCUUAACACAUGCAAGUCGAACGAUGAACCUCACUUGUGGGGGGAUUAGUGGCGAACGGGUGAGUAACACGUGAGUAACCUGCCCUUAACUCUGGGAUAAGCCUGGGAAACUGGGUCUAAUACCGGAUAUGACUCCUCAUCGCAUGGUGGGGGGUGGAAAGCUUUUUGUGGUUUUGGAUGGACUCGCGGCCUAUCAGCUUGUUGGUGAGGUAAUGGCUUACCAAGGCGACGACGGGUAGCCGGCCUGAGAGGGUGACCGGCCACACUGGGACUGAGACACGGCCCAGACUCCUACGGGAGGCAGCAGUGGGGAAUAUUGCACAAUGGGCGAAAGCCUGAUGCAGCGACGCCGCGUGAGGGAUGACGGCCUUCGGGUUGUAAACCUCUUUCAGUAGGGAAGAAGCGAAAGUGACGGUACCUGCAGAAGAAGCGCCGGCUAACUACGUGCCAGCAGCCGCGGUAAUACGUAGGGCGCAAGCGUUAUCCGGAAUUAUUGGGCGUAAAGAGCUCGUAGGCGGUUUGUCGCGUCUGCCGUGAAAGUCCGGGGCUCAACUCCGGAUCUGCGGUGGGUACGGGCAGACUAGAGUGAUGUAGGGGAGACUGGAAUUCCUGGUGUAGCGGUGAAAUGCGCAGAUAUCAGGAGGAACACCGAUGGCGAAGGCAGGUCUCUGGGCAUUAACUGACGCUGAGGAGCGAAAGCAUGGGGAGCGAACAGGAUUAGAUACCCUGGUAGUCCAUGCCGUAAACGUUGGGCACUAGGUGUGGGGGACAUUCCACGUUUUCCGCGCCGUAGCUAACGCAUUAAGGC